rnacentral:rRNA from 1 species
GUGUCAGCAGCCGCGGUAAUACAGAGGGUGCGAGCGUUGUCCGGAAUCACUGGGCGUAAAGGGCGCGUAGGCGGCUGGCUAAGCGGGUGGUGAAAGCCCGGGGCUCAACCCCGGGUCGGCCAUGCGAACUGGUCAGCUGGAGCACGGUAGAGGCACAUGGAAUUCCGGGUGUAGCGGUGGAAUGCGUAGAGAUCCGGAAGAACACCGGUGGCGAAGGCGGUGUGCUGGGCCGUAGCUGACGCUGAGGCGCGACAGCGUGGGGAGCAAACAGGAUUAGAAACCCUCGUAGUCC